CCUACGGGUGGCAGCAGUGAGGAAUAUUGGUCAAUGGACGCGAGUCUGAACCAGCCAAGCAGCGUGCAGGAUGACGGCUCUAUGAGUUGUAAACUUCUUUUAUACGAGGGUAAAGCCCGAUACGUGUACCUGUUUGAAAGUAUCGUAUGAAUAAGGAUCGGCUAACUCCGUGCCAGCAGCCGCGGUAAUACGGAGGAUCCGAGCGUUAUCCGGAUUUAUUGGGUUUAAAGGGUGCGUAGGCGGGUUGAUAAGUUAGAGGUGAAAUGUUGGGGCUCAACCCUGAAACUGCCUCUAAUACUGGUGGUCUUGAGAAUAGUUGAGGUAGGCGGAAUGUAUGGUGUAGCGGUGAAAUGCUUAGAGAUC
rnacentral:rRNA from 1 species